AUGGCCGCGAUGGGUGGGCACCAGAGGCUGAAGAUGGAGGAUGCGGCGGAGGACAAGUUCCCGGAGGGGUUGCGUGUGCUCGCGGUGGACGACGACCGCGUCUGCCUCAAGGUACUAGAGGCCCUCUUGCGCCGCUGCAAAUAUAGCCCAACGACGGUGAUGGAUGCCAAGAUGGCGCUGAAGAUGCUCAGAUCGGGGAAAGAGGAGUUCGACCUGGUCAUCACCGAUGUGCGCAUGCCCGACAUGGACGGCUUCAAGCUCCUCGAGCUCAUCGGCCUCGAGAUGGAUCUGCUCGUCAUCAUGCUAUCAGUGGAUUGGGACAAGAAUGUCGUGAUGAAGGGGAUAAACCAUGGGGCGUGUGACUAUUUGAUGAAGCCAGUGCAAACCAACGAGCUCAAAAACAUAUGGUAG
rnacentral:rRNA from 1 species